UUUGCAAAAUCAUCACCAGGAAGGUUGGGGCUAUUUAGGAAAUGUGUGCUGAAGGAGAAGAUCCCGGAGAAGAGUCUCUUUUCGCUUGAUGUCGAUACAAGAUGGAAUUCCACCUAUCUUAUGCUUGAGGAUACAGUUCCAUUCGAAAAGGCUUUCAAAGAUUAGGUGAAGAAUCAAAAUACUAUUUAUCAUACUUCUCUAAAGUUGGUGGUCCUCUCACUCCCAAUGACUGGUUGGAAGCCAGGAAGUUAAUUCCAGUUUUCAAGCUUUUCUACAACGUGAUAGUAAGAUUCUCUGGGCAACUUUAUGUCACGUCUAGUAGCUUCUUUCAUGAUUUCCUAUUGAUGCACAAUAAAAUAGCAAUGCUCAUUCGUGGGAAAGAGGAAGAAGCUAGGCUAGGAUCAAUGGCAGAAAAUAUGAAGCGGACAUUUGAUAAAUAUUGGGACAAUCAUGAUGGGUUAAACCCGCUGCUAUUUCUUGCCGUUGUUCUUGAUCCUUGGUAUAAAGUCAAAUACUUGGACUUUUGCUUUUCCAAUAUUUAUGAUAAAGUCAAGGCAAAAAGUUUCACAAAAUAGGUUGAAGAUAGUUUGACUAGGCUAUUUGAAUUGUACGCUCAAGCUGACUCAGUUCCAAGUGCUAGUGAGCCUCCUCAUGCACCACCUAUAGUCGAUCUUGAAGAGUAUGCUGAUGAUCCUAGAAGGUUAUGGGCAUCCAAUUUCAAGGAACACUUGCAAGUCAUAGAAAGUAAGGCACCAAAUACCGAAUUGUCCAGAUAUUUGUCAGAGCUGCGUGAGCCUGAUACCAAAGAAUUUAACAUUCUAACUUGGUGGAGAGAAGAAGGAGACAAGUAUCCAACAUUAUCGAAGGUUGCGAAAGAUGUGCUAGCUGUUCCUGUUUCAACAAUUGCUUCUGAAUCUAGUUUUAGCACUGGUGGCAGAGUAAUCAAUCCAGAGAGGAGUUCAUUGUCACCCAAGAUGGUUGAAGCAUUGAUCUGCGGACAGAGUUGGUUGCGCUCAUCAUCCAACAAAAUUGAUAUACGACAAACAAUUGAAGAUUUUCACAAGUAUGAGGAACUUGCACGAGGUAUAGAACAAGGUCCUAGCUCCUAGUUAUGUUCGUAUUCUGGACCUAUAAGUAAUACUGAAUUUCCUAUUAUUUGAAUUUGUUAGAGCUUGGUGCAUUGGAGAGUGGAGAGACAUGAUGUCGGCAAGCGUAUCAAUGCAUCAGGUUUGGAGGCUUUGCUACAACUUGGCAUGAACCACCAUUUGAAUGUGAAAGUGUUGAAUCGUAUGUUGUUGAUGCGUUGUCGCCGAAUGAGUUCGUGUCGUGUGCUUGCGUCCUUCCAGUUUCAAGCUUUUUUUUUGUAAUGCCAUGAAGGAAUGAAGAUUUGUAAUGCCAUGAAGGAAUGAAGUUCGCGUCGCCGAAUGAAGUUUUCGCUGAAAUAUUUAUUUGUAGUAUUGUUAUGUUUUGCAAAUUUAUACGGAUGCAAUGCUAGAAAUAAAUUGAAUUUUCAAGUU